UGUAGGAUAGGUGGGAGGCUUUGAAUCUCGGACGCUAGUUCGAGGGGAGCCAACCUUGAAAUACCACCCUGGUAAUGUUGAGGUUCUAACCAUGAUCCGUCAUCCGGAUCUGGGACCAUGUCUGGUGGGUAGUUUGACUGGGGCGGUCUCCUCCUAAAGAGUAACGGAGGAGUACGAAGGUGCGCUCAGCGUGGUCGGAAAUCACGCGUAGAGUAUAAAGGCAAAAGCGCGCUUAACUGCGAGACCAACAAGUCGAGCAGGUACGAAAGUAGGUCUUAGUGAUCCGGUGGUUCUGUAUGGAAGGGCCAUCGCUCAACGGAUAAAAGGUACUCUGGGGAUAACAGGCUGAUACCGCCCAAGAGUUCAUAUCGACGGCGGUGUUUGGCACCUCGAUGUCGGCUCAUCUCAUCCUGGGGCUGAAGCAGGUCCCAAGGGUAUGGCUGUUCGCCAUUUAAAGAGGUACGCGAGCUGGGUUUAGAACGUCGUGAGACAGUUCGGUCCCUAUCUACCAUGGGCGCUGGAAAUUUGAGAGGAUCUGCUCCUAGUACGAGAGGACCAGAGUGGACGAACCUCUGGUGUUCCGGUUGUCACGCCAGUGGCAUUGCCGGGUAGCUAUGUUCGGAAGGGAUAAGUGCUGAAAGCAUCUAAGUACGAAGCCCACCUCAAGAUUAGAUUUCCCCGAGGUUUUAUACCUCCUAAAGAGCCGUUGAAGACUACGACGUUGAUAGGUUGGGUGUGGAAGUGCAGCGAUGCAUGAAGCUAACCAAUACUAAUUGCUCGUGAGGCUUGACUAU
rnacentral:rRNA from 1 species